GCCUUGCCGUGAAUACAAUGUCUCCACUUCCGUUCACAUUUAUCUAUUGGUUGAGGCUAGAUGGGGGGUGGGGAGAAGCAUGAAGGACAGGAUCGGAGGAAUUGGGAACACUGGCAGAUCAGUAAGGCAAUCGAUGCAAGCUAAACAAAUUAGGAAAAAGCAAAGAAAUAAAAAUAUAGUUUACAAAGGUAUUAUGUUUGAUGGAGCAAAUGACAGGCCCUAUUUGAACACCAACUGAGAUUUGAUAUCUUAAAAAACAAAAACAGAAAACGUAAUCUUGAGCCUGGAGUUUCGGGGCACAUUCCACCCUCUUCGCUGUUCUUUUCCCCUUUAAGUAAGGAUUUCUUUGCCAAUGGAUAUUUUUAUCCUAAGGAUUUAGCACCAAGGAUUUAUGUAUGGAAUUACCUAGUAGGUCAUUUUUACACUUAAGCCAUUUCUCAUGACCCAGCACAUCGCCUGACUGUAGGCUUUUUACAUCUUACAGCUAAAUCAGACGUCGAGACACAAAAAUAACCUUUGUCGAAUGCUCGGGAACGUAAUCGCUCAGCAGCCCGAGUAACAAACGAUGCUACGCAGAGUCAUGUAGACGCCAGUGUUCUCUGCGUGCCCUGAUUGAUCGGCGAUGUUUAGUGCAUCAUGGCCAUCACGGUUAUUGAUGUGUAUAGAGAACCUCAGAGACUCACAACACAGUAGACAUUUGUAAGAAUAUUUGUGGCGCCUCGGUUCGUAGACGCAUCAUUUCUGUGGAAGAAAAUCAAUCAAUGUACCAUUACGUAUGCUAUAGCAGACUUACAAAGGGUCUUUGUUCCUGCCCGUCUUUGAAUGACAGGCCUGAAAAGGUGCUAUUGUUUAUGUCCCCAAGCCCUCUAAACAAGUCACCUGCAAAAUGUGUUCUCCUCCUUUCUAUAGAAUAAAAUAACAGCUUUGUUUCUGGU
rnacentral:lncRNA from 1 species